CGUUUGCCGCUAGGGGCGUUGUUCCAACUAUAUACAAAUUUGUGUUAAUUUUUACGCAAUCGCGAUCGUCAAAAAACUCGCACUAAGCACACUGUUAUGACGUAGCUUAUCGUGUGCAAGGCUGUGAUAAAUUACGACCUAAAUAUUACGUAGCUGUAGGUUUAUUUUGCAUCGCCGUGACGUUAAGGUAUAAGCUGAGCUCCCGUUCCCACUACAUACUUAUUGUCUAUUCAAAUAAAUUUCAUAAAUAUUUUGAUUUGAACGAUACAGAAUGGUGAGAUACGUUUGAUUGAUAGCAAUGUUUUUCAAUUUUACAUCACUUGGCCAGAUCAGCAACUCUAGAUUACCAACUGUCAGCAACAUUUUUACACGCGUUUGUUCCCAUUUUCCGUUUUACUGAUCACGUAUUUUUUUAAGCUUAUAUUUAUAAUUAAAUUAACAUAUAUACUUCUGAUUCCGCGAAUUGUAGAUAUAUUAUAAUUAAAACUAUGUACUUUUACGGUUUACUACUACAAAACAAAGUCAAACGAACUGCCAGACCACCAGAUACUGUGUGUUCUUUCUGUGUAAAACGUAACGUAAAAGUCUGGAUAUAUUUUUUAUAGAACAUUAGACGGUAGUUCUCACAACAUUCAAAUUUCGAGGGGUCGUCCAUCUUAGUCGCCCGCGGUAUGGUCUAUGGCAGGGGGGUGCAACUCCCAUACAAAGGAAAAUAACAUACAACUAGCGUCAUCUUACUCCUGUGGCGACGUCAUUUUUGUAACUUUUAGGCAUUAAUGAUCUAAUAAACUCACUAGAUGGCAGAUAUGAGUUCUGACUCAAUAAAAAAUGUAGCGUACUUUGAAGCAGUGCUUCCACUUUUAGGGAAUUCUCCCUUUUUUAGGGAAAAAUAGCUGAUAUUUUGGAUGAUAAAGACAAUUUAAAAAAUACCAGGAUUUAGGAUAUUUCGGGGUAAAAAGCAAAGCCUAUACUAGUAACUGUUGUGAAUUUUAAAAUAAACGAUAAUUAAAGUAAAACAAUGAACAUUUUAUUUUAUGGAGAGAGAAUGACAUUAAGUCGAGUUGACAAGUAAAAGAAUAAAACAGAGUUGUGUAUAAAAACUAUAAAGGUUUGAUUCAACAGUAACCCUCUAGUAAAGUAAAUCAUAGAUUAAGCCACUGCUUUUUCUUAGGGAUUCCCCAGAAUCCCAAUAAAUAUAAUCCGCCAAAUUUUUAUUUACCUAUUUUCGUUGAUGUCAUCAGAACUUACUUGUAUUGUAAUAUACAGGUACUUCAUGUACCAUGAAAGAUUAUCAUGGUAAUUUCAUUUACGAAAACCUUGUAAUUGUCAUUUCACUUUUGCUAGCAGUUCCUUCUUCAAAGACUGAGGUGGAAAGAUUAUUCAGUGUUCUCAAAUUUAAAAACUGACAAAAGAAACAGGCUUUCUAAUUAAACCCUGAACGGCUUGCUUCAUAGAAAGUUCCCAACUUUGCCAGCAAACAAUUGCUCAAUUUUAGAACCGAACAGUGUUAGGUUGUGCAGCAAAAGAAUAUAAAAGCAAUGCGUCGACUUCCUUGAAAAUUCUAAUCCUAUAGAUCUAUGAUCUUCUGGGGGCGUUUAUAUUAUAUAUACCUACAUUAAAUAAUAUGCUGUGGUUUAUUUUCUGUAUUUUAUUUACGCUUUCUAUAUAAAGGAUAUAUAUAUAAAGGAUAUAUAUAUAAAGGAUAUAUAAAGGAUAUAAAGGAAAGAGGAAAGUUGUCUAGGAAAUUUUAGGGUAAAUUCAAAAGAAACUAGGGUAAAAUGUGUUAAAAAAAACGUAAGUGGAAACACUGCUUUGAAGUUUUCAAAAUUCCAGGGCCGUAAAACAAUCUCAAAAAAAAAAAAAAAGUUUUCAAAAUGUCGUAACGAUUUAAUUUUUUAAAUCGUUUUUUUUUGGUCUUGGUGUGAGUUAUUUUACGUUGUAGUAUUAAUUUAGAGCAACUUUUAGCUUUAUGAGAAUAUUAGACGAUUAGACAUUGAGAAACUCUGUUUUGAAUUCUCUUUAGACAUAACUUGGCUCCAAUACUUUUUUCUUCGUUAGCGUUUUGUAAGCCUGUGUAACUAUUUUCAUUUCUUACAGAAUGUUUAUUAUUAAAAAUCAGCAUGCCUCGAAGAUCGAAAAUGAAAUGCUAUUUCGGAUGCCUUGAUAACGGUGAGUUUACACUAUUUUCCCGGUAUAUUAUUUGCUAACAGAAUUAUUAUUCAUAAUAUAAUUAAAUGAAUUAGCACCAACUAAUGGUCCUUCCUAUUUCUGCUGCCUAGCUAUCAUAUAUGUUAAGUUUUGAUCAAAACAGUCGGUAUUAAGUCUCGAACUAUCACACACACACCUCAGAUAAUAAAAUUGUCUCGAGUGGGUGGAAGUAUUUAUGUUUUGCAACUCAGCGUAUUAUAUGCUUAUUGUCAAGUGGGCCCGAACUAGUUUUUUGGAAUGAUCAAUCAGUCAUGCUUUCCUGUUUAAAUAAAAUACAGCACAAUUGAUCUCACAUCCAAAGUUAGAUGAUGGCAUUCACGUUUUGUUUCCUGGUGUUUGAUAACUAAGUUACACCAAGUGGCCUGUGACCACGUUCAUCCUUCUACCCAAUAUAAAAUAAUGUUUUUAUUUUUGUAGACAAAGGUUUGAUAAGGACAAAAUUUUAUGGAAAAAUUAUAAGGAGCACUAAAAUGUCUGAAACAUGAAAAGAUUGAUGCACUAUAUUUGAACCAGAACGUGUUAUGUAAUAUAUUAAUUUAAGAGAAACUAAUUCAGCAAGGAAUGUGAACUCACAAGGGAUCUUAAUUUUUUUUAAAUAUGUUUAUAAUUGAUAAAUUAAUAAUUGAAAUAGUUCAUAAGAACUAAAUUGAUGCCAAUUUUGUUUUAAAAUAGGUUGUUUAGUUCUUAUAGUUAUAGUAUUACGUUUGAAUAGUUGUAAUUAGUAAGUUAGUAAUAUAUGAAAAUACUGAUAUAAAUUUUUGUAAAUAACCUUUUGUAAAUUCUACGAGAAGAUGAUUUUAAUUAAUGAUCAAAAGUCAACGGUCUUUAAAAGCAUUAUUUGCAAUUAUUUAGAUUAACUGUGGAAUAUAUUUGCUAAGUUGUGUUUUCUGUAUGAGCAGAUAUAAAUGAAAAUGCCCAAACAUGAUUAUGUUUCUUACAUUUUCAUUAUGUGAAAUCAAUAUGCUUGUGACUGAGUAUAUUAAUAAUUUAUUAAAACUUAAGUGAUAGACAGCAACCCCUAUGGCACUGCUGAAGUUUAUAAGCACUGGUGACCACUUAUCAUGGGCCGGGUUGCGUGCUCGUCUGCUGUUGAGUGCAAUAAAAAAUUUCGAAACCCUUUCUUAGAUGUAAUAUUAAUGUACUAUUAUGUAUACUAUUUAUGUAAUAUUAAUUUGGAUUAAAAGAUAAAUUUACAUUUUAUGUUUGCAUGUGUAUGUUUAUAAUUCAUUUGCAUGUAACGAACACCAGUUUCUUUUGUAACAAAAUGUAAACUAAUGGUUUGUAAUGAAUGUAAUUAACUUUAAGAUGAUUUUCUUUCAAUCUGCUGUUUGUUUCAUCUAGUAUUACCAAAGCUAAAGCAUCAGAAACGUCAGAAUAGAAAUAAUUUAGAUAGGGAAUAAAAGUAUAACUAAUGUAAUCAUGUCUAAGAUUACUAUAAGCGUCAUUAAGUACAAACUAUCAAUAUUUAAGAGUACUUUAAAUCAUCAUUACAUUUUUUAAACAUUUUUUGUUUUUCAAAUCAUGUAAUAAAACGUUUGUGCAGAACAAAAUGUCACAUGUUAUGAACAUGAUUGUGGGUUAAUCGUUUCUUAAAUUUCUAAAUGUUUAUAAGAAUGCUAAGAAUAAUUUAGUAUUCACUUUAGUGUGUGUAUUAUCUCUACAAUGCUAGUAUAAAUGACAAUUAUUGUAUGACGAAGCAUAGGUAGUGUUUAUAGAUGUAAUAUUUUCAUACAAGGUCAUGAUCUGUCACGAUCAACUUUAAGCAAGAACUGCUAUAGUUAAGAAACAAAUUUAUUAAAUUUAAUUCAAAUUGUCUACUAUGUUUGUAAUGGAAAGCUGACAUGUUUAUAUUUCGCACAAAUGACUUAAGUGACAUUGAAUGAUUUGAUUAUCUAGACUUAAUUAACUUUUAGAUAACUUUCGAUUUAAUGUUAUUAAGUACUCUAGUAGGAUUAAUCUAGAGGAGUUAUUGUUAUUCGAAAUUUUAUACAAUUGUACGUUCAUACUAUCUUUUAACAGUAAAUUGUUUGUAAUAUAGGGAAAUUAAAUAGCUUACAGAGAA